rnacentral:lncRNA from 1 species
AUGGAUCAGCCCCAUGUACAACAGUUGCCUAUUUUCUAGGCCAAGCACUUGCCCACUACCUAUCAUGCAUGUAGUUGCCUCCUGCCACUACUUAGAAACGUGGGCACAUCAUGUGAUCAUGGGAUCAUGGCCCCCAAAUCGUGCUAACUCCUGCCAGCCUGAUGCACAAACUCAACUGCUGCCCAUGUGCACAGCAUGUGCCGGUAACCGCCGCUUGACUUGG